rnacentral:rRNA from 1 species
UACGUAGGGGGCAAGCGUUGUCCGGAUUUAUUGGGCGUAAAGAGCGUGUAGGCGGCUAGGUAGGUCCGUUGUGAAAACUCGAGGCUCAACCUCGAGACGUCGAUGGAAACCAUCUAGCUAGAGUCCGGAAGAGGAGAGUGGAAUUCCUGGUGUAGCGGUGAAAUGCGCAGAUAUCAGGAAGAACACCGGUGGCGAAGGCGGUUCUCUGGGCCUUACCUGACGCUGGAGGAGCGAAAGCGUGGGGAGCAAACAGG